rnacentral:rRNA from 1 species
CCUACGGGUGGCAGCAGUCGAGAAUCAUUCACAAUGGGGGAAACCCUGAUGGUGCGACGCCGCGUGGGGGAAUGAAGGUCUUCGGAUUGUAAACCCCUGUCAUGUGGGAGCAAAUUAAAAAGAUAGUACCACAAGAGGAAGAGACGGCUAACUCUGUGCCAGCAGCCGCGGUAAUACAGAGGUCUCAAGCGUUGUUCGGAAUCACUGGGCGGAAAGCGUGCGUAGGCUGUUUCGUAGGUCGUGUGUGAAAGGCGCGGGCUCAACCCGCGGACGGCACAUGAUACUGCGAGACUAGAGUAAUGGAGGGGGAACCGGAAUUCUCGGUGUAGCAGUGAAAUGCGUAGAUAUCGAGAGGAACACUCGUGGCGAAGGCGGGUUCCUGGACAUUAACUGACGCUGAGGCACGAAGGCCAGGGGAGCGAAAGGGAUUAGAUACCCCAGUAGUC